CUCUGUCUCUGCUCCAUUCCAGCAGCUGGAGUUGGCAGCUUGCCGCCUCCUCAGUCCUCACUCUUUCCCCUGGUUUCCCCUCCUCAGGCUCUGGCCCUGCGCCCCCGCCUCCGCCUCAUCAAGAUAAGGCUACAAGCCCAUGCGUCAAGAAGCUUCCAGAACCUUCCGCUGAGCCCGAAUCCACUGCCGGGGCCCGAUACUACGGAGGCUGCAUGAGUAGUCGCGCCGCCGCCGUCGCAGCAGCAGCAGAGGAGCCAUGGGGAUGGUCACCGUCGCUGCCUUCCUCGCCUCGCCGCAGACGACCCUCGGCCGCCGGCCCCUCGCCGGCGCGUGGAGUCUGCGCCUGAGGCCCGCGUCCCCCGGCGUCGCCGCGCUCAGGCUACACAAUUUUGUCCCGAAGUGUUACGUUACAAACAUUGAGGUUGAUGUUAGUAAUGUAAUUAAAGAAGAGGCUUCCGAUGAUCACCCAUCAUUGCCACCGGGAUUGUCCAUUCCAGUUGUUAAUCUUCGAGGAGAUGUUCUAGAUUCUAGUCCUUUUCCGCUGCAUGAUAGGGCUUCCUGUCCUUCUGAUUUUGAAGAGUUGCCAGUCUUAUCUGAAGGAGAGCAACAUACAUUGGCAUCAACUCCAGCUCAUCCUGCUGGAUUAUAUGCUCUAUAUGCUAGUUACUUAUUUGGUAACUUGGUGGAACAACUGUGGAAUUUCGCUUGGCCUGCUGCCCUGUCAAUUCUUCAUCCAAGCCUAUUGCCUGUGGCUAUUGUCGGUUUCUUCACAAAGCUCUCAGUCUUUAUUGGGGCACCAAUAGUUGGCAAACUCAUGGAUCAUUUCCCUCGAAUACCCAUGUACACAGCACUGAAUGCUGUGCAGGUAGCUACUCAGUUGAUAUCAGCUGCAAUGGUUAUCUAUGCUCUCAAAAACCUGAGCCAUGCUUCUACAACAGCUGUGGUUAUGAGACCUUGGUUCAUUGCACUAGUGGCAGCCGGAGCUAUCGAAAGGCUUGCAGGAUUGGCACUAGGAGUUGCCAUGGAGCGGGACUGGGUUGUGUUGUUAGCAGGAACAAACAGGCCCGUUGCAUUAGCUCAAGCUAAUGCUGUGCUUAAUCGACUUGAUCUUCUUUGCGAGACAGUUGGUGCUGCAGUUUUUGGCCUUCUGCUGUCCAAAUACAAUCCUGUGACCUGUUUGAAGAUCGCUUGUGGUCUAAUGAUAUGCAGUUUCCCUGUUCUGGUUAUGUUGGGUCAACUAAUUAACAGCGUCUCCUGCCAUACACUUGAUUCCUCUAGAACUGCCACUGAUGAAUCUAUUUGUGUUGAUCUAUUGGAUGUCCGCAAGAUAGUUCAAAAUAGCUUGAGUGCUAUCAGACAUGGCUGGAACGAGUAUAAGCAGCAGACAGUUCUACCUGCAAGUGCAGCUACCGUGUUCCUAAAUUUAAAUGUAGCACUUGCUCCCGGUGCCAUAAUGACUGCAUUAUUGAUGCAUCGUGGUAUUAGUCCGUCCAUUGUUGGUGCUUUCAGUGGAUUGUGUUCUAUCAUGGGCCUUGUUGCGACAUUCAUCUCCUCAAGCCUGGUGAAAAGAGUUGGAAUUCUAAAGGCGGGAGCUGCUGGAUUGAUAUUUCAAGCUUCACUCCUGUCAGUUGCUCUCACAGUGUAUUGGGCUGGUUCAAUUUCACAACGGACACCUCUACUUAUCUUCCUCACUUCCAUUGCGUUAUCUCGGUUGGGGCACAUGUCUUAUGAUGUUGUGGGGACACAGAUCGUCCAAACAGGUGUCCCUGCUUCGAAAGCAAAUCUUAUCGGAGGAAUGGAGGUUUCGAUUGCAAGCCUUGCAGAGUUAGUCAUGCUUGCAAUGGCUAUAAUCGCAAACGAUGUCUCCCAUUUUGGCUUCUUGGCGAUCCUGUCCGUGUCAUCUGUUGCUGGGGCAGCUUGGAUGUUCUGUCGGUGGUUAGCAAAUCCCACAGAUGAGCAGAGGGAACUCUUUAUGAUCGAUCCCCUUUACCAAGUUCAAGCAAUGUAACUAUUAAUUUUCUGUAUUUUCCAUUACUUUAUUAGGAUAUCAGGGUUCAAAAGUAUUUGACCUUCAUACUAGAGUUACUUGACAAGUGAUAAAUAUGUCUAUGAAUCUCAUUCUCUGAUAGUAGAUGAAGCAGGAUGCUCCAACACAGCCAGGAAAACGGUUGGCACCUAGUUGGCUGCUGGUGCUUUUCGGGUCUGCAAUACCCUUAAGAUGAUGUGAAGAUAUGUUGUGACAUUUAGGUUCAAUACGACAUACACUUAGGACAGAAGCAUUUGCUACUCUUAGUCUCAGCCAUGCACAAUAUUCAAUUGUAUACUCAUUUAUCUCCCCACCUGUACAGUACAUCUACUAUCAGUUUAAUCGUUGCUUGUUAUAGCUGAUGUAGAACAACAUUAACAGCCAAUUUUAGUAACAAAAUCAAUAAAAUUUGACACACCCCUCCUUUCCUCUAUUGCUCUGUUACUACAAAUGUGUAACUGUAUAUUUUAGUGAAUUUUCUGUCUUCUUUCUUUUGUCCUUGUUGUUGCAUUGCUCGUGGAGUGGUUAAUCUAAACACUGUCUGGUUGCUUGUGUAA